UCUUCAUUUCACGCGCUAUCUCACCGGUCUGAGAGGAGAGAGAGUGCGUGAAAUGAAAAGA
rfam:Pristionchus pacificus strain PS312 contig8711, whole genome shotgun sequence.